UCGCAGCUCUUCGCGUUUACAAUGCCCCAGAUAAAAAUCCACCACCUUUUUACACAGAACUAAAAAUUCAAACAAUAAAAACAGAUCACCUGCACGCACUUAUCGAAAACGAAUAUUUGAUUACGUUAAAAACAAACGGCACAACGAAAAGAACAUGUCUGUUCAGUCUUUAAUGGGCUCUCAGGUCGGUGGUUUACGAACGUAAACGGAAUGAAUCGGAUUCCUCCUGCAUGACAAGUGCAACUGAGAGACUGCCGACUGGUCUGCUUUGCUGGAAAUGCUAGCUGGUGGAAGAAAUGUCGCGAUUAACGUGCCAUUGCCGGUGAUCGUUUGCAAGGUUGCCGAUGUGAAGACAAAAAAGUAUCAUAUAAAAAAGUGGCCUUGCACCCCAACAAUUCCUUCAAUCAGGUUGAAUGGAACGAAUGACAGGGACAAACGGUUACCCGGUUAAACAUCUUAUAGAUAUAAAGGAAAACAUCCGAUAUAUAUGGUAAUCUGGCAACAGCCGCUUAACUUGCCGGAGGUACAAGAUCAAGAGGCGAGGUCGGCGGUGACGAUAGUGGGAACGGCAACGAGCUGCGGCGGCGACAAAACAGACCGGCGCCGAAUUCAACGCAAGCGUAACAUCGCGAAAUUUAUACCAUAGUUGAUGACGAUGCAACAAAGACGAAGAAUGGGUGCGGGAGACUAGGAUUGCAAAUAAUUUGAAAGGUUUUGCAUCAAAUAAGUAGCUAUGGGUCAGCCUAGACGGAGACGCCUUAGAAGAAUUUCAUCUCUGCGAUUUUUCGAUUUAGUGCUACCAUUAUCCUCAUUCAAUUUCAAAUCUGAACCAUAUAUACUGGUUGUUGUUGUACCGUUGUCUUUAGCUUC